rnacentral:snoRNA from 15 species
GGCACAAGUGAUGAUCCACAUAGGGACUUAAUUCUGAAGCCUGAUGCAAUGCUUGCUAUAUAUGCUGAUGUGC